rnacentral:rRNA from 1 species
AUGGCGGCUGAAUCAAGUUCACAUGGACGGCAGGGGAAGGAGACGACGGAGGAGCUGCUUGCCAGGCUGAAUCUGCAGGAGGAGGAAGACGACGAUUUUGUGUGGGAGGAGGAAUUGCCGGACUUGGAGGCGCCGACAAAGUGGCUGGCUAUAGCCAGAGUUCACACUCCCAAGACCUUUAGCCCUAAUGCUCUGUAUGGGGACAUGCGUGCCGCAUGGAACCCAGCAAAACCGGUGGUGUGGAGGAAGAUCAAGGACAAUCUGUUCACAGCUCAGUUUGGAUGUCUAGGGGACUGG